rnacentral:tRNA from 1 species
GGAGGUGUGGCAGAGCGGCCUAUUGCGCACGGCUGAAAACCGUGAGGCGGCGCAUGUCGCCCGGGGGUUCAAAUCCCCCCGCCUGGG